rnacentral:snoRNA from 1 species
AGGCCGUGAUGUGGACACUUACGUAAUAACUCCUUGAAACCUUUCCCAAGUUUCAUAUAAGGAUUCCCCGUCCUCUUGUGAAUAUGUAUUAAUUUCAGUCAUUAAUUU